rnacentral:rRNA from 1 species
GACGGGAGCUUGCUCCCUUAGGUCAGCGGCGGACGGGUGAGUAACACGUGGGUAACCUGCCUGUAAGACUGGGAUAACUCCGGGAAACCGGGGCUAAUACCGGAUGCUUGAUUGAACCGCAUGGUUCCAAUCAUAAAAGGUGGCUUUCAGCUACCACUUACUGAUGGACCCGCGGCGCAUUAGCUAGUUGGUGAGGUAACGGCUCACCAAGGCGACGAUGCGUAGCCGACCUGAGAGGGUGAUCGGCCACACUGGGACUGAGACACGGCCCAGACUCCUACGGGAGGCAGCAGUAGGGAAUCUUCCGCAAUGGACGAAAGUCUGACGGAGCAACGCCGCGUGAGUGAUGAAGGUUUUCGGAUCGUAAAACUCUGUUGUUAGGGAAGAACAAGUACCGUUCGAAUAGGGCGGCACCUUGACGGUACCUAACCAGAAAGCCACGGCUAACUACGUGCCAGCAGCCGCGGUAAUACGUAGGUGGCAAGCGUUGUCCGGAAUUAUUGGGCGUAAAGCGCGCGCAGGCGGUUUCUUAAGUCUGAUGUGAAAGCCCCCGGCUCAACCGGGGAGGGUCAUUGGAAACUGGGGAACUUGAGUGCAGAAGAGGAGAGUGGAAUUCCACGUGUAGCGGUGAAAUGCGUAGAGAUGUGGAGGAACACCAGUGGCGAAGGCGACUCUCUGGUCUGUAACUGACGCUGAGGCGCGAA